GUUUGUUUUGUCGUGUUCUUUCCUUCCUUUCACUUACUUGCCUUCUCUCUUUUCUUUUUCAUCGCUUCUCGUUUCUUCGCGCCCCUCUCUCUUCCUUCCUUGCCCUUCCUCUACCUACCUUCCCUUACCUCCCUUCCUCUGCCCUUCCCCCUCGCUCUCUCCCGUCGUCGGAAUCGCCUUUCGUGUGUGUGUGCGUGUGUGUGUCACGGUUGUGUGAAGGUGCUCUUGCGUGUGCGUCUCGACGGGUGCCAACGAGUGUCGUUGUUGCGCUUUUCUUUUUUUUUUGCAUAUCCCACGAGCGCGUAACAUAGCAGCAGAACAAAACAAGAAGGGAGGAAAAGGGGGAAAAAAGAAGCGUUGAGGGGGAGAAUCGAAGAGGCGGCCCUCUUUCUGUUUUCUGAGCAGGCUAGUCUCUCGACGUGCGGGUGAGAGAAAUAAAAGCGAAGCGAUUAUCGGUGUGAGGUUGCCGUAACGCGCGGAUACGCACGCAUAGGCACGAGCACGUACGCGCGCCCCUCCCCCCUUCACACACGCACACACGCCGGCACGAAGGCGCAGGCGGAACAAAAACAAAGAAGAGGGGAGGGAGAACGUGCGUGGAGAACUCCCUACGCGUUGCUUUUCUGGCCUCGCGCUCCUCUCACGCUAUUUUUUUUUUGUUUUGUUUUGUUUCCACCACCACCACCACCUCUUCACCUUCCUUUGUGCACUGUGGCCUUUGCUGGUUGUGUUUCGGUGUUUUGUUUGUUUCUGUAUUUUGUGCUCGUAUAGAGGGGACCCAGCGCUGGAUUGGGCUGCUCGUUCUUCUCAGCUCCGCUCUCUCUCUCUCACCUGUCUGUGCGACCCAACUCCGUUACCUUCACCCCUCUUCCCUCUGCUGAUCUCGUCCUCGUUGUCGUUGCAUCUCAGUACCCUGCCUUCUCCUUUUCCCCCUCUUGUGCGCUUGUCUCUCAGACUCCCGUCUUCCUUCCCUCCCCGCCCGUUUUUCUUCUCCCCCCCCCUCCGCCCACCCACCCCACCCCACCCACUCCAUCCCCCACUUGGUAGCAGAAGCAUACAUCUACACAGAGUCUUCCCCUGCCCUCGCAGCCCUUUGGGUUGUCUUUCUGGUUUUUGUCUGGUUUCUUCGUGCGUUUCUUUUUUUCUGCGUAUAUAUAUUAUAUCGGUGCGAACCAACGCCCCACCAACGCACCUAUACCUUACAUCUAUACGCACACGCGCCAGCGGGUAGGGGGGAUACAGAGAGAGAGAGGUGCUAGAAUCCAAGCUCUCUUGAGGUUCCAGCUCCCUCUCUGUGUGUGAGCUUGCGUGUGUAUGUGUGUGUGCGUUUUAUCCCCCAUCCCUCCUCCUUCGGCCUACAUCUCUUCACUGCUUUUCCUCUCCACCAUCGGCAUCUCUUACAUCAGACCCCCUCCCCUCCCCACCUACCGCGACUCCCCAGCGCUUUUUAAUCACUCUCCUUCCUCUCUAACGCCCUCUCGCCCUCCCUUACCCCUCACCCCUCACCCCUGCUUCUCUGCAUUCAUUUCGUUGUUCUUUUUGACCUGCGAGCCUAUACGCUGGCAGGAAGCAAAAUACGCGAUACACGGGAGGGGCCGAGCAAGCGAGAUUGAGCGAGAGACGGAGCGAGUACACCUCUCACACCAAGACAAGCACUCUAGAAAACGCAGUCGCCGUGCUUGCAAAGACAUCAACCACGAAAAAAAAAAGAAUUUCCUUUCCCGUGCUCCGUUUUUUCCCGUUUUCUUACCGGUUUUGUUUUGUAGUAGUAGUGCUUGGAGAAACGGGAGAGAAAGCGCCGUGCGCCCUCCCCUUGUUUUGUUUGGUGUGCUUGUCUGGGCUCCUCUUACCGCCCCCUCUUCUCUCUCGCUAUCUUCACGCCCGCCAACCCCUCACAUAUCCCCCCGCUCUUCACUUUUUUGGGGGUUUUGUUGGUCGCUUGUUCUCGUCCCGGCGUUUUGUGUGGUGUGUGUGUGUGAGUGUGUGCCCGCAGGAGAGAAAAAGGGAGGGGGAGGCACCGCUGCCGUGACGACAGCAGACCGCCGAACAGGAUCCAGUGAGCGGUACCGGAGCGAACCCCAGCAAAAUAAAGAGGCGAGGGGGGCAGGGAAAAAGUAAGCAAAAAGAAAAGGGAAGUAAACGCGGGAGAGGGAAGAACCGUCGCCUCGUCGCGUCACUUCACUUCACCUCUCUCUUCCUCCGUUACGGUUGGUGUUUAGCUGGUGCUUGUGCACGUUCGAGGGCGCUAGCGCCUUUCUCUGUGUGUGGGGCAAGCUCAGGGUGUGUGUGUGUGUGUGUCUGGGGCGUGCGUCCUCUUGCUGCUGUUCAUUUUCUCUCGCGAGUGUAAAACGUAAGCAGCGAGGGAGACGAUAAGAAGAAGGCACGAAAACGCGUCGGUGUUUUCGACGAAGACGAACAAGCGCACGAGAGACGGAAACGAUCGGGUCGUGUACGCCAAACGGGUGUGAGAGAACACAGAAUGUGAAAGGGGGAGAGCAGACCGACAAGAACAGCAUAAAAAAAAGGAGGAUACACACAUUACGGAAAUCAAGGAGCAUCUCUUAUUUCUCGCUUUGGUGUUUCCUAGCGCCCUCGCUCUUUCGAUUCGCUUUUUUUGGUUUUACGACUGGUGUCCCUUCCCAGCACUCGCCCCUCUUUCCGUUUCUCUCUCUCUCUGUUGUCCUUUUGCCGCUGCUCGCUGUUCUCAUCCCUCUCAAGAGUGCUCGUCGAUCCUCUAUUUGUCCGCACGCGUUAAAAUAAGCGUGUGUCUAAGCUCGCGCGCCUGCGUGCGCCCGUGUUCGUGUGUGUGUGUGGAUCCCUGACAGGGAAAGGGGGUUGCGUUUACCGAAAGCGUCUUUCCUUCCCUCUCCUCUCUUGUCUGUGUGCCUCACGCCUCCUCGGUCUAUUUCUAUUUCCGUGUAUCGUUUGGGUUCACCGUCUACACGUCGUGUCCCGUCGUCGGUCGUAUCUGCCGCUCGCACUGUAGGAGUGGGCGUUUUUGUUGUUGUCUUCUCUUUUUAUCUGUUUGUUUCUGCGUGUUUGCGCUUGCGUCGUUGUGCGACCGGCCUUGCCGAGUGUGUGAACACGUGUGCGUGCAGGCGGCGCGUCAAAACGUGUGUUUAUAUAUAUAUAUAUAAACACAUACAUAGCGUCUUAUCGAUUGCCCGUGUCUGUCCGUCCGUCUGUUGUUGGUGUGGCCCUCUCCUCUUUUGGCUGCCCCUCCUCCCCUUUUUUUCCUCUUCGUUUCGCGUGUCCCUCUCUCAGUUUGAAUCUCGCCUCGUGUGUUCGCUGUUUUUGUUGUUCGUCCCCUGCCUGGCGAAUCCCUCGCCUUCCCACCCUCUCCCACACGCACGCGCACACACACACACACACACACAUACAUACAUACACGUACGUAGAGGCCUCCGCACCAGCAGUCCCAGUGCUUUCACCAAAGAGGCGAAGCCCAGCCAGAGAAAGGCGCGACCUGAACCGAGCGCCCACGAAAAAAAAAAGACGAAAAAAAAUGGGUGGCUAUCCUUCUCACGAUGCGCCGAACUUUCUGUUCGCGACGGCAGCGCAGCACCCCAACAACGGCGGUACGACAGAAGUAUGCCUCGUUCCGCUUCUGCGGCGUCACUUCAACGAUACAAACAGGCGACUGAAAGAUGCGGUGGCGCAGCUCUACUUUGACGGCCCACCCAACACGACGGCGCUCGCCCUCCAGGCAAUGCAGAACGGCAUUUCCUCGAACUGCACCACACCCGACCUCUCGGCGCAGACAUCCCUGCACAAUAUGAGCGACACGGCGAGCGGUGUCACCCCUUCUGCCGGCCCACCGCCGCCGGCGCUCAACGCCGCCUUCGCCAGCAGCGGGAACUUCGACGCCAGCGCCGAGACGAAGCGGAAGGCUGUGCACGCGUACAAGGCCAUGGACCAGCUGCUGAACGAGAUUGAGGCAUCUUUCUUCACAACAACUCGUGUCGUGUACGAUUCGGCGUCACAGGCCAACGCGAAGUUGCGCGAUAAGCGCUUGGCCUCAAUCAAGGGCAUGGACAAGACAAAGAGCCCCAAGGUGGGCCCGGCCGUGGGUGGGUCUGUGAAGGGGGAUCUGGCGGCUCCUCGUGCCAUCGGCAGCUCCUCUCGUGCAUCGCUCUCGUCGCAGCAGUCACUGACGCCUCCCCCGCCUCCAAUCCUGCGGCCGGUGCCGUGCGCGGUAUGCACCAUCGAGCCGGACACGUCGGGCCGUCGAGGCUCGUCAGGGCAGCAGAACUCCACGAGCCCCAACGGCGCUAAGGGCAACAACACUCUGACAGCGCUGAAUGUUCCGACUCCGACAGCGGGCCCCAACGGACUGCAGAUGUCCGGCUCCAGCGGCAGUGUAGGCAGCAAUCCGUCCUCGCCGGAGUGGGUGACUGUGCAGGGCCGUCGUCUGCGCUGCAUUGGGUACCUCUCGUGCUUUUCGAAGCCGCGAACUGUCGACUACGAGUCGAGGGAGGUCUACGGACCAGAGUCGAAGCCGCCCCUGCACGUGCUGCGCAUCAACGAGUGUGGCUCCAAGGGCCUGGACGUGGCAUUUGAGCUGAUCUUCGAGAACGAGUACAAGUACAUGCACCUGCUGGAGCCGGUCGUCUUCUUGGCCAGCAUAAUGUUCCGCUCUCAGUACCUGACCAGCAGCAUGCUGCAGCGUCCCGUUCACUCGCCUGAGGUGGAAAACGCGUACUACGCGCACCUGCAGCUGCUUAACAUUCAUGUAGUGCUGUCAAAAGACCGGGUGCACCAGCUGAAGAUACUACAGGAGCAGCUUCCGCUCCUGGACUUCGUGGAAGAGAUGGGUCUUAGCGAGCGGCACCUCGGCGCGAGCGUCGGCGGUGAGACGGCCUCCUGCGGAGGUGGUGCGGCUUCGCUGGAGACAACGUUGACUGUCGGCGACAUUUCGGCAGAGAUUAUCGCUGCCGCGACGGCGGACGGAGAAGCCCCGACGAAGACCGACAGCGACACCCUGGUGCAGACCGUUGUCAGCGACGGCGGCGAGGUGGCGAAGCCGCAGCGGCAGGCCCGCGGCGACGACUCCGAGGACAGGGAGCACUCCGAUGUGGAUGAUGACGGGCACAAGAGCGGGGCAGCCGGCACGGUCGCCGAUGUCGCAGCGGCGGAGAAGGCGGUCAAGAAAAAGGAAGAUGGCGAGAACGAAGACGACGACGCGGCCGACUCGACGCGCAACACCACGGUAGAUUGGGAGAAGGAUGCGAAGCCCAGCAGCGCCUCGGCCCCUACAGCAAGUCGUCGCACACGCCGCAGCCGCCGCCGCCAGCGCAAACAGAAGACGGCCGAGCCGCAAGACGAGAUCUACCGCAAGACGCACUGCACCAUGCCUGAAGUCUCCUUGUACGAGUUGAGUUCUGGCGAGCGUGGAAUUGAGGUCAUCUUCGAUGGUGCGCUGCUCGCGCGCAUGAUGAAGCUGAUUGCCGAGACGGCCGCAUACGAGACCGUCAAAAACUCUUUCAUCCGGUGUGAUAUGGGGCCGCUGAUGAAGGAGCGCCGCCACCUCAACCAGAGCCGCCGCGAAGCACUGCAAGAAGAUGGCAGCCUCGAGCGCGAGGAGGAGCGCGUAAUGGGAAGCACGAUUGUCGCCGCCACGGUGCGCCACUGGGUGAAGGAAGGCCUUGCUGCCGAGGAGGAGAAGCGCAAGAAGGCGCAGGCAGCAGCAGCGCACGCAGAGCAAGCGCAACAGGCCGCGACCACCCAGGCCGCCGCCGCUGCAGCCGCCCAAACCCACCCACCCCCGCCCCCGCUGGCGGCGCAGAUGCUGCACAAUCUCCCCGCGAUGCACGCCAACAUAGCGCAGGGCGUUGCACCGAAUGCGCUGACGGGGUCCGCGGCACCCACAACUGCCGGACACCCGUUGCUCGCUGCGCAGGCGGCAGCGAUGGGGCAAAACCCAGCCAUGCUGCGCAUGGGCAUGGUGCCGUCCAACCAGCCGACGGCGGCAGCAGCCCCGACCACGGCCUCCACCGCGUGUGCCCCCAUGCUAAUGUACGUGCCCGGCGUUGGUUACGUGCAAGUGCCGAGCAACUCCCGAGUCUUGACGGCGCCAGCCGCGCCGACGCAGGCGGCGCACCCGGCAUACGUGAUCAACCCGGCAACGGGUCAGCCAAUGAUGGUGGCUCCUCAAGCCGCAUCCGCAGGCGCCACCAGCGCCUCUGGCACACCCCCGCAGCCGCCACAGAUAAUGGCCUUUCCGUCUAUGAUGCACAUGUACAACGUACCCCAGCAACAACAGCAGAUGAUAGGGGCCUCGCAACAGUACUUUGCUGCUCAAGCAGCGCCGCAGGCAGUGCAGCAGUCGCAGCAGCAGUACCAGUACAUGAUGGGUCCUGGUGGGCAACUGCUGAUGGUGCCGGUGGCGUCCGCGCCAACGGCGCAGGCAGUGCAGCAGCCACAGCAGCAGCAGCCGUUCAUGAUGACCACUAUUCCACCGCAGCAAGCCCCGCAAAUGCAACCGCAGCAAGUGUAUAUGAACCCUUACAUGAUGCCUGGCGUGAUGAACAUGGCCGCCGCGCAGCAGCACGCUCAGCAACAAGCCCAACAGCAAGUUCAGCAGCAAGCGCAACAGCAAGGACAGCAAGCUCAACAGCACGCCCAGCAACAAGCGCAGCAGCAGGCUCAAUAUCACGCCCAGCAACAAGCACAGCACCAGGCCGAAGGGCAAAAGGCUUACCAGCAGUUCAUGGAUGCGCAGGAGGAACUUCAGCUGUUACGCCAGCUCCAGCAGCAGGCUCAACUGACCCAGCAGGGGCCUCUCAACGAGCAGCAGCAGGCGCAACUCCUGAAGCAGGCACAGAUGAUGCUGCAGGCUAGGCGGGCCCAGCAGGCUCAUGCUCAGCAACAGCAAGCACAGCAUCAGGCCCAGCAGAUGGCUCAGCAGCAACAGGCACAGCACCAGCAGGCUCAACAGCAGCAGCAGGCCAUGGCCAACAUGGCGGCGGGAGGCAACCCGCAAGCCUUCGGUCCGCAGAGCGCCUCUCGCACACCGGCUUCUACGCCACCGCAGCAAGGCAGCGCCGCCGCGCCGCCAGCACCGUACAACGCAGUGCCCAGCUCUGUCAUGCCACCACUGCCACACAUGCAGGGGAUGCAGCACACGAACAUACAAAACAUGUACGCUCAUACCCAGCAGCAGCAGCCUGCGCCCACCUCAAAUGCGUCUGGCAAGGAGAUCUCAUCGUCAGGGCCGGCGGCAAGUGCGGCUAACACGAGCGCCAAGUCAACCGGUACCAAUGCCGGGGCCGGUUCUGCUGGGGUCGCGGGAACGAUCGGCGAUCAGGCGACCGCCCCAGCAGUGGCAAAUCCACAUCCGAAGACGAACCCGUACAGCUUUGCUGCAAUCAACGACGACGAAGACGACGCCGCGGUCGCGCUUGCGGCUGCGACGGCUGCAAUGGAAGCUAUCCGCGGGCAUGGCGGCAUCGACCGCGACGACGACGAGGACGAGGACGGCAGCCAGUUUUUCUCAAACGGCCAGUUUUUCUUCCGCGCCCAGUAGAGAAGAGAUACAAGAGGCAAGGGCUGCUCAGGGGAAGCGGUCCUCAGUGCUGAGGGGAGGACAACUGCCAACGCCUCACCCGCCACACGCCACUGAAUGCCGCUCUUCCCCCUCCCUUCUCCGCUUGCUUGCAUGUAUUUAGGCACAGACGUGCACGCUGAUGUGUUUGUGCCUGUGCGCGGCAUGUGUUUUUUUUUUUUGUUGGUGAUUUCUUCGUGUUUGUUUUCCUUUUUUAUUUUCUUUUGUUCCUUUGCUGUUGUUGUUCUCUUGGUGGUUCCUGUGUGUACCUUUUCGGUGUUGUUGUUGUUUUCUGUGUGUGUGUGUGUGUGUGUGUCCCCGUCUUUCCUUACCGGUGUGAAGCAUAGAAACACGCACACACACACGCACAAAACCAACAGGAAAGAAAAAGGCAAAAAGAAAACGGGUGAGAAUGGGAAAAACGAGGCGAAAGAGGUGGCGCAUCAAAAACGGAGUGCAUUCUUGAUGUAUAUAUGUAUAUGUAUACGUGUGGAGACAGAGAAAAGGCUUCGACAGUCCUGCCGAAACGCUGUUCCACCACCCCUCAGUGGGAACACACACACACACACACACAGGGAGAAGCAGAUCCACGAGCUAACACCCACUCACGCACACACGCAUGCAAACACGUAUACACCAAGAUUGAUAACUGCCCCCCCCCGCAUGCGUGCGCUCGCUCCUUACCACCAUGAACACUUCUUUCCUUCGCCUUCUUUUUUUUUCCUUCUUUCCCGCCCUAUGAGAAAGGGGUUUGCUGCACGGUUUAUGUUGACGCCGCUUAUGCUUUGUUUUUGUUCGAGGUUUUUGUCUGCCUUGCUUUUUUUUGUGUGUGUGUGGGGGGGGGGAGGGAGGGGGGAGGAGCUCGCUUGUUUCGCUGUUGUUGUUAUGUCUCGCUUGCCUACGUUGGUGUUUCUCUAGAGUAUAUAUAUAUAUAUAUGUAGUCCUUUGAAUUCUAAUCUGUUUUCUUUUUUUUUGCGUUUUACUGCUCGCUCCUCUCUCCUCUCUUCGCCGUCACGCCUUUCUGGUUCAUUGCUUGUGGUGGUGAUUGUUUUGUCGUCGUCGUCGUCUUUGGCGCUCUACGAGGUCCUCUUUUCUCCUCCCUCCCUCCCUCCCUCCAUCCCCUUUCUGUUACGGUGUGGUGGCUUUUUGAGCUUUUCGUUGUUGUUGUACUGACCUCUGCGGUUACUCUGCAGGUUUGCUUGUGCGCAUAUAUAUAUAUGUGUGUGUAUUGCUUGGUCGCCGAUACCAUGGCCUUUCACCACGUGUCUCGCCGCUGUUGGUCAGGCUCCCCAACCCCUUCUAGGAACUGCUUUUUUUCGCUUAUGCUUCCUUUUUGUUGUUGUUGUGUGUAUAUAUAUAUGCCUGUGCGCGUGUGCGUGGAGUGCCUCUUAUGUGUCUCCCCCCCCCAUCCCCUUUAAAACAAACAGCCAACAGCACACAAAGAAAAAUUCUCCUCGUCUCGUCUGCCCAGCGUGUGCAUCUUCCGGUGCUGGCCAACGAGAAGCACUUCAACAUCCAAGCGGCCUACAUAUAUGUGUAUUGAGAUGGGAUUGGUGCGAGAGAGCACAGGUGAGUGCGAGACGACGAAGAGAAGAAGUGUGCAGAGAGCUCAGGCGGAUCUGUGCAUGGUGCUCUGUCCUUCGUGGGGUCGACACCCACCGACGUGUCCCUCACACUGAUGCCCCUCUUGCGCCCUGGCGGUGGUGAAACGAUGGGGUCCUUCACCAUCUCUUAGCUUUUUCAUGACUUUGUCUGUGUUUAGUAAAGACUCGAGCUAAGGCGUGUGUGCCGAAGGCCGUGCAGAACUGUUUUUUUCCCCCUGGUAGAGAGUGCGGGGGAUUCGAGGCGGCGCAAGGCGAGGAGGGCCUCUUGGCAACCGACCAGAGUGUUUGGCGAAGAGAUAUAUGGGGAGAAGGGGGUGGAGAGCGAGAGCAUGACACGCAGUGCGACGGCUAUUCGCUUGCCGCUGCCGCCCUUCCCCCCUCUCUGCUUCUCUUUCCUAUGUGAGGGGGGACUGAUCGUGCUUGCAAAGAGGCGCAGAGACUUUGGACCUUGACCGAGCAUCGACAGAGAUGAGGUAAACGGCAAGAGGACGGAGGGAGAAUGCCUCUGCAAAAAGGGCCCAGAUUGUGUUGCGCGAGAGUGAGGAAAGUCUGAAGGAGAUACCCAGAAUACGCCGAACGGAACGGGAAAAAGAAGGCGUUAGAGGACCUGCGCAACGGUACCCGUAUAUAGGCACCCCACCACCACCACCACCACCACACACACACACACACACACACACACCACGGCAUGUGCAGCACCCUUGCGUUGGUUUCUUUCCCUUCCUUUGUGGGCCCUCCUCGUCUUCCUGUGUCGGUGUCGGUGUCGGCUGUUGUUUUGCGUUUUGUGAUUUUCUGGUGUCUUCGCUGUCCAGCCACCCCUCAUCUUCGCCUUCCCACUUUUGUCUGUCUGUGUGUGUGUGUGUGUGCAUAAACUCUUCAUCUCGGCUCAACUCGUCCUCUGUCCUGCGGGCGGCACCUUCUGCAAUGUUGUGUUCUCGACCUCUCUGUUGUCCUUUUUAUUUUUUCUUGCAUACUACUGUUGUCGUGUUGUUGAUUGGGAGGGAGGGGGCUUCCUUUUUUUCCCGUUUUUUUUUCUAUUCUGGUACCCUUUGUGUAUGUCUUAUCUAUGGAAUAGGGAUCUACCACAGAGGCGUACACGCGACAUGGGUUUACGUAAAGCAGGUGCUGUCGAGUACAGGAGACAAGAACGAGGAAAGCGAUAACAUCACCCAACCCUGCCGCAUCAUUUUCCUUUCUUGCUUUGUUUUCACCGGUCGGUUUGAGUUGAUUGGUUGCUCAGCCGGCACACACGCACGCAUACACACACGCACGUGGGGCU
rnacentral:misc_RNA from 1 species